GUGGGGGUUGUUAAACAGUCUGGAGCGGAUUUACAAAGUUUGGGAAAACCAAAAUCAAUCUCUGACUGGGCAGAGAGGUCGGGCAGCCAAUGAGUGAUUCAUUGUGGUUUCCCACGGAAAUGCCACAUUUCGGGGGUGUCUACCUGGAGGAUGCAGCUUGGUGGUUUUGCUGUAAGUGUUUCAGAUUCCUUUGAAACCCAAUCAGACUUUGAAGAGGGAACAACAUGCUCAUGAGCGAAAACAGAAGCCUGAAAUGAACCUGCUGGGAACUGAAAGUUGGGUACCAGCUCGUUUACUCCAAGUAAGGAACAGAUACCAGUUUUAGACCCAGCAUUGUUCCUUUUCUGCAAUUCUCUCUCCGUGGCCAGAAGCAGUAGGACAGCUCUGAGCUGGGCACCAGGAGUCCCAGGGUCCUGCUCCAGGCCCACUGUAGCUGCCGUCCCCUCUGCCUGGAAGAACCCUUGUAUGGCUGUUCUUGGCACGCAGCUCACAGCCCAGAAGUCAGCUCCGCAGAUAGGUUUUCCCCAACCAUGUGAUCUGCUUGUCUCUGGCACCUACACCCCACCUCCACCUCUCCCAAACAUAGCGCAUCCUGUUUGAUUGCUUCAUAGCCCUUGUCACUGUUUAAUGUAGCCUACAUGAUUGGUUGCUUAUUUUUUAUCUGCCCCCCACUCUCCCCACUGCAUGGGUAAACUGCAUUACAGCAGUACCUUUGCCUGUUUCCUUAGAACAGUGCUGGCCCAUAUGAGACCAUCGAUAAACACGUGUUGAAUAAAUGAAAGAAGCAAACAAACUAGAGUUGCAGAUGGGACCUCUGCCUGAGCCUUCUCAGCCUUGCUGCUUACGAGGCAAAUUCCAGCCUGGGUCACUCCCUUGUCCCUUAGCCAGGAGAAGACAAGGAUCCUGAUCCCAGCCCCACA
rnacentral:lncRNA from 10 species